AGCGAACGCUGGCGGCGUGCCUAACACAUGCAAGUCGAGCGAAGGCAUGAGUGUAGCAAUACACUUAUGUACUUAGCGGCGGACGGGUGAGUAACACGUGGGUAACCUACCCUCGAGUGGGGAAUAACUAGCCGAAAGGUUAGCUAAUACCGCGUACGCUCCUUGGACUUCGGUUCAGGGAGGAAAGCGAUACCGUGGGUAUCGCGCUCUUGGAUGGGCUCAUGUCCUAUCAGCUUGUUGGUGAGGUAACGGCUCACCAAGGCUUCGACGGGUAGCUGGUCUGAGAGGACGAUCAGCCACACUGGCACUGCGACACGGGCCAGACUCCUACGGGAGGCAGCAGUAAGGAAUAUUGCGCAAUGGGCGAAAGCCUGACGCAGCGACGCCGCGUGGGGGAGUGAAGGUCUUCGGGUUGUAAACCUCUUUCAGCUCCGACGAAGCGAGAGUGACGGUAGGAGCAGAAGAA
rnacentral:rRNA from 1 species